CCUACGGGUGGCAGCAGUGAGGAAUAUUGGUCAAUGGACGCAAGUCUGAACCAGCCAUGCCGCGUGCAGGAAGACGGCUCUAUGAGUUGUAAACUGCUUUUGUACGAGGAUAAACGCAGAUACGCGUAUCUUUCUGAAAGUAUCGUACGAAUAAGGAUCGGCUAACUCCGUGCCAGCAGCCGCGGUAAUACGGAGGAUUCAAGCGUUAUCCGGAUUUAUUGGGUUUAAAGGGUGCGUAGACGGUCUGAUAAGUUAGAGGUGAAAUCCCGAGGCUCAACUUCGGAAUUGCCAUUGAUACUGUUCGGCUAGAGAGUAGUUGCGGUAGGCGGAAUGUAUGGUGUAGCGGUGAAAUGCUUAGAGAUCAUACAGAACACCGAUUGCGAAGGCAGCUUACCAAGCUACUUCUGACGUUGAGGCACGAAAGCGUGGGGAGCAAACAGGAUUAGAUACCCUUGUAGUC
rnacentral:rRNA from 1 species